GCGACACUAGCUCAGUUGGUAGAGCGCAACCUUGCCAGGUUGAGGUCACGAGUUCGAACCUCGUGUGUCGCUCCA
rnacentral:tRNA from 1 species